rnacentral:rRNA from 1 species
UACGAAGGGUGCUAGCGUUGUUCGGAAUCACUGGGCGUAAAGCGCGCGUAGGCGGCUAAUCAAGUCAGGGGUGAAAUCCUUGGGCUCAACCCAAGAAUUGCCUUUGAAACUGUUUGGCUGGAGUAUUGGAGGGGAGUGCGGAAUUUCUAAUGUAGCGGUGAAAUGCGUAGAUAUUAGAAGGAACACCGGUGGCGAAGGCGGCACUCUGGGCAAUUACUGACGCUGAGGCGCGAAAGCGUGGGGAUCAAACAGG